ACUGGGAUAACUCCGGGAAACCGGGGCUAAUACCGGAUGCUUGUUUGAACCGCAUGGUUCAAACAUAAAAGGUGGCUUCGGCUACCACUUACAGAUGGACCCGCGGCGCAUUAGCUAGUUGGUGAGGUAAUGGCUCACCAAGGCAACGAUGCGUAGCCGACCUGAGAGGGUGAUCGGCCACACUGGGACUGAGACACGGCCCAGACUCCUACGGGAGGCAGCAGUAGGGAAUCUUCCGCAAUGGACGAAAGUCUGACGGAGCAACGCCGCGUGAGUGAUGAAGGUUUUCGGAUCGUAAAGCUCUGUUGUUAGGGAAGAACAAGUGCCGUUCAAAUAGGGCGGCACCUUGACGGUACCUAACCAGAAAGCCACGGCUAACUACGUGCCAGCAGCCGCGGUAAUACGUAGGUGGCAAGCGUUGUCCGGAAUUAUUGGGCGUAAAGGGCUCGCAGGCGGUUUCUUAAGUCUGAUGUGAAAGCCCCCGGCUCAACCGGGGAGGGUCAUUGGAAACUGGGGAACUUGAGUGCAGAAGAGGAGAGUGGAAUUCCACGUGUAGCGGUGAAAUGCGUAGAGAUGUGGAGGAACACCAGUGGCGAAGGCGACUCUCUGGUCUGUAACUGACGCUGAGGAGCGAAAGCGUGGGGAGCGAACAGGAUUAGAUACCCUGGUAGUCCACGCCGUAAACGAUGAGUGCUAAGUGUUAGGGGGUUUCCGCCCCUUAGUGCUGCAGCUAACGCAUUAAGCACUCCGCCUGGGGAGUACGG
rnacentral:rRNA from 2 species